AUUGAACGCUGGCGGCAUGCUUUACACAUGCAAGUCGAACGGUAACAGGCCGCGAGGUGCUGACGAGUGUCGAACGGGGGAGUAAUGCAUCGGAACGUGCCCAGUCGUUGGGGAUAACUACUCGAAAGAGUAGCUAAUACCGCAUACGAUCUAUGGAUUAAAGCGGCGGACCGUAAGGCCUCGCGCGAGUUGAGCGGCCGAUGUCAGAUUAGUUAGCUGGUGGGGUAAAGGCUCACCAAGCCAACGAUCUGUAGCUGGUCUGAGAGGACGACCAGCCACACUGGGACUGAGACACGGCCCAGACUCCUACGGGAGGCAGCAGUGGGGAAUUUUGGACAAUGGGCGAAAGCCUGAUCCAGCAAUGCCGCGUGAAGGAAGAAGGCCUUCGGGUUGUAAAAUGCUGUUGUAAGGAACGAACCGGUUCUGGUUAAUACACGGGGCUAAUGACGGUACCGGAAGAAUAAGCACCGGCUAACUACGUG
rnacentral:rRNA from 1 species